GUACACACCGCCCGUCKCUACUACCGAUGGAGGGGGUAGGUGAGUGUGGUGCAGGAUGCGGAUGGGACACCGUCAGGUGGCCCGYCCGCGUGCGAAGCCAUCCGAACCUGCCCUCUUAGAGGAAGUAAAAGUCGUAACAAGGUWUCYGUAGGUGAACCUGCAGAAGGAUCA
rnacentral:rRNA from 1 species